UGGAGGUGCACUCCAUAGCCCUGAUGAAUCCUAUCUCAUCUCUGUGAUGCCCUUUAUCUGAAUUUCAGAAAGGAAAGCAGAGACUUCCAUUGCCUCACCCAUUACUCACAUCCCUCCCAGAUCUGCACUGCAAAAGGGACCUGUGCAUGACUGCAGAAAAUGCUUUCACAGGGCUUUUUCCCUCACUCAGUUCUUCUGGGCACACUGAAAUUAACAGAAAGCUUACCAGAUCAGUUGCCUAAGGUUUAGUUUUUGAGCUACAACUCAUCUCAGUCCAGAUGUAGAUAUCAGGAGAUUUCUACAGCUGGUUCUUCCCAAUUUUUUGCCAGUGUUGACCUAAGGAUCACCAAGGAGAAGCAGGGCUGCAACAUAUGUACACACUCAAAGCCAGUGAAGGCUCGCACUUCAGUUUCUACAGGACAAGUGCUGCUCAGCUUGUACUUCAGAAGCACAAAUUUACCCUGCAUGUUGAAGUUCAGAGCCUUUCAAUACCCAGUGCAGAAGAAACCCACAACUAUCAAAAAUAAAAUAUUUCAGUGAGAUUUGCUAAGUGGUGAAAUCGCACAGUAAGGCAAUUGAAUGAACAUUCACCAUCCAACACUAGGUUUUACAAAGCACCCUGACAAAGCCUGCUUGGUCUGAGAUGUAAUGCUAGGAGGGAACUAAGCUACCCUUGUAAAAGCAAUAGAUAAGGUUAAUUUCAAAGACUGUACAUUAUCCACCUCUCCAGAAACACACUUUUUAGAUGCCAGCCCACUGAAGACUUGCAGCAGAGUCUCAGUGCUGACUCUGCCCUUCUCAUACCCCCAUUCCCAAGGUUUGCAGCAGAACAUCUCCAGGGCAGAAGACACAGAGUUGAUCCCAGCUCAAUGGUAUCAUGGGCAGUGUCACUGCAUGGCUCCAGCCUAAGUCCAAAAGGCUGUUUCACAUCAUGCUUUUGGCUAAGCAUGAAAUACCUGGAAAAUAUAGCACCAUGCUCUGAGCCAAGCAACACACAGCAGCUUGGCAUGAAAGGGAGCACGGAUUGAUCCCAAGUCUAGGCAGGGCAUUGCUGCGAACACUACUUCAGGCUCAGGCCCUUUCCAUCUCAAAAAGACAUACUAGCACUUAUUUAAUUGCCAAGUCAAGCUAUUUUUCUCUGUUCUUAUUUUGCUAAACAAAUUCACAGAGAAGAUAUACUUGGACAAAAAUUCACUAUCCUGGUGAAAAUCUAGAAAAACCCCUUUAAUUUUAGCAUAGCAAUAGAUUUGUGCACUAUAAUCCUCUGAACCCAGCCUAGGAAGUGUCCUUACACAGGCCACUGAUAUUUACUACAUUUACUUGGACGAAGCAGCAGACUGAUAAAGCAAGGCUACCAAUGCAUUGUAAAACCAAUCUCCUAGAAAGAGUUUCCAAGAUCUGCCACA